AUACGGAGGGUGCAAGCGUUAAUCGGAAUUACUGGGCGUAAAGCGUGCGCAGGCGGUUUGUUAAGUCAGAUGUGAAAGCCCCGGGCUCAACCUGGGAACUGCAUUUGAAACUGGCAAACUAGAGUGUGGUAGAGGGAAGUGGAAUUCCUCAUGUAGCGGUGAAAUGCGUAGAUAUGAGGAGGAAAACCAGUGGCGAAGGCGACUUCCUGGACCAACACUGACGCUCAUGUACGAAAGCGUGGGUAGCAAACAGGAUUAGAAACCCGAGUAGUCC
rnacentral:rRNA from 1 species